UAUUAAUCAUAUGGAGCCUGAUAAA
rnacentral:piRNA from 1 species